UAAGAAAAACCUUCAGGUUGAGAAGCAGCAGCAGCACCGAACAGAGGAGGUAGCAGUCGGAGUGGGAGCCAGAACGGGGUGGGCACCAUGGCUGGUAUCACCACCAUCGAGGAGGUGAAGCGCAAGAUUCAGGUUCUGCAGCAGCAGGCCAAUGACACCUUGGAGAGGGCCGAGCGUCUCCAGCAGGAGGUGGAGGGGGAGAAACGGGCCCUGGAACAGGCUGAGGCUGAGGUGGCUUCCUUGAACCGUCGGAUCCAGUUGGUAGAUGGGGAGCUGGACUGUGCUCAGGAACGCCUGACUACAGCUCUGCAGAAGUUAGAGGAGGCAGAGAAGGCAGCUGAUGAGAAUGAGAGAGGUAUGAAGGUCAGAAGAUGAAGCUGCAAGAAAUCCAACUGAAAGAGGCUAAGCACAUUGCUGAAGAAGCAGACAGGAAGUACGAGGAGAUGGCCCAAAAGUUGGUAAUCAUUGAGGGAGACUUGGAGCACACAGAGGAGUGGGCUGAGCUGGCAGAAUCCCAUUGCCGGGAGAUGGAUGAGCAGAUCAGACUGAUGGACCAGAACCUGAAGUGUCUGAAUGCUGCUGAAGAAAAGUAUUCUCAGAAAGAAAACAAAUAUGAGGAGGAGAUAAAAAUUGUUACCGAUAAACUCAAGGAGGCAGAGACCCGUGCUGAGUUUGCUGAGAGAUCAGUAGCCAAGCUGGAAAAGACAAUUGAUGACUUGGAAGAUAAACUGAAAUGCACCAACGAGGAGUGCCUCUGCACACAAAGAAUGCUGGACCACCCUCUGCUUGACCUGAAUGAGAUGUAGAAACCCCUUUCCCCCCAGCCCCACCCUGUCACUACUCCUUCCACUGACUCUGACUUCGCUGGAGGCCAGCCUGCCUGAAGCUGACCUUUAAACUGAGGGCUGAUCUUUAACCUAAGGCUGCUUUCUUCUCUGGGUCCUUGCUUACCCUCUCCCCACCCUAUCCCUACCCCCAACUCCCCAUGUCAGUUUCACCAAACUGUCUCUGCAGCUCUCCCCUAGAGAUCCCAGAUAGGCCAAGGGCUGAGCACUUUUAGGAACAACAUCUAAGGAAACAUGAGCACAAUGCAAUAGUGUCUUUAAAAGCAUGUUGUAUGAUGUAUACAUUUUGUAAUUACCUUUUUGUUGUUGUAGCAACUAUUUAUAAGACAUUCCAGAUAAUUCCUCAGCUCCUAGGCUGCAUCUAAUCAUUUCUUUAUGGAUGGUAAAUAUUUCUACCUAAACAAAUUGCCCCUUAUCCAUAGAAGAGGGAACUCUGUAUUAGCCUGCCCUACUUGAGAACUGAACGUAGCCCAAGAAAAGACUGUGUCAUGGGGAAAUCUCAAUAUUCUGUACCAAGCACCAGCCAAACCAGAAAGUCAUUCCAGGAGGAGUUU